rnacentral:rRNA from 2 species
CUUACCAUGCAGUCGAACGAUGAAGGAGAGCUUGCUCUCUGGAUUAGUGGCGAACGGGUGAGUAACACGUGAGCAACCUGCCCCUGACUCUGGGAUAAGCGCUGGAAACGGCGUCUAAUACUGGAUAUGAGCUCCUGCCGCAUGGUGGGGGUUGGAAAGAUUUUUUGGUUGGGGAUGGGCUCGCGGCCUAUCAGCUUGUUGGUGAGGUAAUGGCUCACCAAGGCGUCGACGGGUAGCCGGCCUGAGAGGGUGACCGGCCACACUGGGACUGAGACACGGCCCAGACUCCUACGGGAGGCAGCAGUGGGGAAUAUUGCACAAUGGGCGGAAGCCUGAUGCAGCAACGCCGCGUGAGGGAUGACGGCCUUCGGGUUGUAAACCUCUUUUAGCAGGGAAGAAGCGAAAGUGACGGUACCUGCAGAAAAAGCACCGGCUAACUACGUGCCAGCAGCCGCGGUAAUACGUAGGGUGCAAGCGUUAUCCGGAAUUAUUGGGCGUAAAGAGCUCGUAGGCGGUUUGUCGCGUCUGCUGUGAAAUCCCGAGGCUCAACCUCGGGUCUGCAGUGGGUACGGGCAGACUAGAGUGCGGUAGGGGAGAUUGGAAUUCCUGGUGUAGCGGUGGAAUGCGCAGAUAUCAGGAGGAACACCGAUGGCGAAGGCAGAUCUCUGGGCCGUAACUGACGCUGAGGAGCGAAAGGGUGGGGAGCAAACAGGCUUAGAUACCCUGGUAGUCCACCCCGUAAACGUUGGGAACUAGUUGUGGGGUCCAUUCCACGGAUUCCGUGACGAAGCUAACGCAUUAAGUUCCCCGCCUGGGGAGUACGGCCGCAAGGCUAAAACUCAAGGAAA